AUUGAACGCUGGCGGCAGGCCUAACACAUGCAAGUCGAGCGGACGAAGGGAGCUUGCUCCUGGAUUCAGCGGCGGACGGGUGAGUAAUGCCUAGGAAUCUGCCUGGUAGUGGGGGCUAACGUCCGUAAACGGGCGCUAAUACCGCAUACGUCCUGAGGGAGAAAGUGGGGGAUCUUCGGACCUCACGCUAUCUGAUGAGCCUAGGUCGGAUUAGCUAGUUGGUGGGGUAAAGGCCUACCAAGGCGACGAUCCGUAACUGAUCUGAGAGGAUGAUCAGUCACACUGGAACUGAGACACGGUCCAGACUCCUACGGGAGGCAGCAGUGGGGAAUAUUGGACAAUGGGCGAAAGCCUGAUCCAGCCAUGCCGCGUGUGUGAAGAAGGUCUUCGGAUUGUAAAGCACUUUAAGUUGGGAGGAACGGCAGUAAGUGAAUACCUUGCUGUUUUGACGUUACCAACAGAAUAAGCACCGGCUAACUUCGUG
rnacentral:rRNA from 1 species